rnacentral:rRNA from 1 species
ACGGAGGAUCCAAGCGUUAUCCGGAUUUAUUGGGUUUAAAGGGUGCGUAGGCGGCCUAUUAAGUCAGGGGUGAAAGACGGUGGCUCAACCAUCGCAGUGCCCUUGAUACUGAUGGGCUUGAUUACACUUGAGGUAGGCGGAAUGUGACAAGUAGCGGUGAAAUGCAUAGAUAUGUCACAGAACACCAAUUGCGAAGGCAGCUUACUAAGGUGUCAAUGACGCUGAGGCACGAAAGCGUGGGGAUCAAACAGGAUUAGAUACCCUGGUAGUCCACGCCCUAAACGAUGAAUACUCGAUGUUAGCGAUAUACAGUUAGCGUCAAAGCGAAAGCGUUAAGUAUUCCACCUGGGGAGUACGCCCGCAAGGGUG